rnacentral:rRNA from 1 species
GUGCCAGCCGCCGCGGUAACACGUAGGAUCCGAGCGUUAUCCGAAUUUACUGGGCGUAAAGCGCGUGCAGGCGGUUUGGUAAGUUGGAUGUGAAAGCUCCUGGCUCAACUGGGAGAGGCCGUUCAAAACUACCAGACUAGAGGGUGGCAGAGGGAGGUGGAAUUUCCGGUGUAGUAGUGAAAUGCGUAGAUAUCGGAAGGAACACCAGUGGCGAAGGCGGCCUCCUAGACCAUUCCUGACGCUAAGACGCGAAAGCUAGGGGAGCGAACGGGAUUAGAUACCCUCGUAGUCC